GACGAACGCUGGCGGCGUGCUUAACACAUGCAAGUCGAACGGAAAGGCCCUGCUUUUGUGGGGUGCUCGAGUGGCGAACGGGUGAGUAACACGUGAGUAACCUGCCCUUGACUUUGGGAUAACUUCAGGAAACUGGGGCUAAUACCGGAUAGGAGCUCCUGCUGCAUGGUGGGGGUUGGAACGUUUCGGCGGUUGGGGAUGGACUCGCGGCUUAUCAGCUUGUUGGUGGGGUAGUGGCUUACCAAGGCUUUGACGGGUAGCCGGCCUGAGAGGGUGACCGGGCACAAUGGGACUGCGAUACGGACCAGACGCCUACGGGAGGCAGAAGGGGGGAAUAUUGCACAAUGGGCCGGAGCCUGAUGCAGCAACGCCGCGGGCGGGAUGACGGCCUUCGGGUUGAAAACCGCUUUCGCCUGUGACGAAGCGUGAGUGACGGUAAUGGGUAAAGAAGCACCGGCUAACUACGUG
rnacentral:rRNA from 1 species